rnacentral:tRNA from 5 species
UAGAUGAAUGCCCGUUGGAUAGGGCACUUAGCUGUUAACUAAGAUUUUGUAGGAUCGAGGCCUUCUCAUCUAG